UACAGAGGGGGCAAGCGUUGUUCGGAAUUACUGGGCGUAAAGGGCGCGUAGGCGGCCUUCUAAGUCAGACGUGAAAUCCCUCGGCUCAACCGGGGAACUGCGUCUGAUACUGGGAGGCUUGAAUCCGGGAGAGGAAUGCGGAAUUCCAGGUGUAGCGGUGAAAUGCGUAGAUAUCAAGAGGAACACCUGAGGUGAAGACGGGUUGCUGGGCUGACACUGACGCUGAGGCGCGAAAGCUAGGGUAGCAAACGGG
rnacentral:rRNA from 1 species